AUAACGACUCUCGGCAACGGAUAUCUCGGCUCUCGCAUCGAUGAAGAACGUAGCGAAAUGCGAUACUUGGUGUGAAUUGCAGAAUCCCGUGAACCAUCGAGUCUUUGAACGCAAGUUGCGCCCCAAGCCGUUAGGCCGAGGGCACGUCUGCCUGGGUGUCACG
rnacentral:rRNA from 5 species